rnacentral:rRNA from 1 species
GGUAGUCCACGCCGUAAACGAUGUCGACUUGGAGGUUGUACCCUUGAGGCGUGGCUUCCGGAGCUAACGCGUUAAGUCGACCGCCUGGGGAGUACGGCCGCAAGGUUAAAACUCAAAUGAAUUGACGGGGGCCCGCACAAGCGGUGGAGCAUGUGGUUUAAUUCGAUGCAACGCGAAGGACCUUACCUACUCUUGACAUCCAGAGAACUUAGCAGAGAUGCUUUGGUGCCUUCGGGAACUCUGAGACAGGUGCUGCAUGGCUGUCGUCAGCUCGUGUUGUGAAAUGUUGGGUUAAGUCCCGCAACGAGCGCAACCCUUAUCCUUUGUUGCCAGCGGUUAGGCCGGGAACUCAAAGGAGACUGCCAGUGAUAAACUGGAGGAAGGUGGGGAUGACGUCAAGUCAUCAUGGCCCUUACGAGUAGGGCUACACACGUGCUACAAUGGCGCAUACAAAGAGAAGCGACCUCGCGAGAGCAAGCGGACCUCAUAAAGUGCGUCGUAGUCCGGAUUGGAGUCUGCAACUCGACUCCAUGAAGUCGGAAUCGCUAGUAAUCGUAGAUCAGAAUGCUACGGUGAAUACGUUCCCGGGCCUUGUACACACCGCCCGUCACACCAUGGGAGUGGGUUGCAAAAGAAGUAGGUAGCUUAACCUUCGGGAGGGCGCUUACCACUUUGUGAUUCAUGACUGGGGUGAAGUCGUAACAAGGUAACCGUAGGGGAACCUGC